ensembl:misc_RNA Metazoa_SRP Metazoan signal recognition particle RNA
GCUGGGCGUGGUGGUGCGUGCCUGUAAUCCCAGCUACCCAGGAGGCUGAGGCAGGAGAAUCGCUUGAAUCUAGGAGGCCGAGGUUGCAGUGAGCUAAGAUUGUACCACUGCACUCCAGCCUGGGCUACAGAGUGAGACCCUGUCUCAA